GCCAGACUCCUACGGGAGGCAGCAGUGGGGAAUAUUGCACAAUGGGGGAAACCCUGAUGCAGCGACGCCGCGUGAGUGAAGAAGUAUUUCGGUAUGUAAAGCUCUAUCAGCAGGGAAGAAAAUGACGGUACCUGAUUAAGAAGCCCCGGCUAACUACGUGCCAGCAGCCGCGGUAAUACGUAGGGGGCAAGCGUUAUCCGGAUUUACUGGGUGUAAAGGGAGCGUAGACGGCAGCACAAGUCUGGAGUGAAAUGCCGGGGCUUAACCCCGGAACUGCUUUGGAAACUGUGCAGCUAGAGUGCAGGAGAGGUAAGUGGAAUUCCUAGGGUAGCGGUGAAAUGCGUAGAGAUUAGGAGGAACACCAGUGGCGAAGGGGGCUUACUGGACUGUAACUGACGUUGAGGCUCGAAAGCGUGGGGAGCAAACA
rnacentral:rRNA from 1 species